UACGUAGGGGGCAAGCGUUGUCCGGAAUCAUUGGGCGUAAAGAGCGUGUAGGCGGCUCGAUAAGUCCGCUCUGAAAGCCCGGGGCUCAACCCCGGGAGGCGGGCGGAUACUGUCGAGCUAGAGUCCGGAAGAGGCGAGUGGAAUUCCUGGUGUAGCGGUGAAAUGCGCAGAUAUCAGGAGGAACACCAAUGGCGAAGGCAGCUCGCUGGGGCGGUACUGACGCUGAGACGCGAAAGCGUGGGGAGCAAACAGG
rnacentral:rRNA from 1 species